UGCUGUUAGUGAUGAUUUUCAAAGUAACAACAGAUGGGAAUCUCUCUGAAAGAGAAUGAAGGUUAAUUUGGAACUGAAACAGUA
rnacentral:snoRNA from 12 species